UCCCCCAUCUUGUGCACUUGC
rnacentral:miRNA from 1 species